rnacentral:rRNA from 1 species
UACAGAGGUCCCGAGCGUUUGUUCGGAUUCACUGGGCGUAAAGGGUGCGUAGGUGGUGAGGUAAGUCGGAUGUGAAAUCUCCGAGCUCAACUCGGAAAUGGCAUUGGAAACUACCUUGCUUGAGGGUUGGAGGGGGGACUGGAAUACUUGGUGUAGCAGUGAAAUGCGUAGAUAUCAAGUGGAACACCAGUGGCGAAGGCGAGUCCCUGGACAACUCCUGACACUGAGGCACGAAAGCUAGGGGAGCAAACAGG